rnacentral:misc_RNA from 1 species
UAUGCGGAACUGUAUUUCGACGGCGUGCCGCCGCCAUCCGUUUUGCAGGUGCCGGGCGCGAUCGAUGUCACCGUCGAAUUCACCUCGAUGUCGAAGACGUUCUCGAUGGCCGGCUGGCGUAUGGGUUUUGCCGUCGGCAAUGAGCGGAUCAUCGCAGCUUUGACGCGCGUGAAAUCGUAUCUCGACUACGGUGCGUUCACACCGGUCCAGGUCGCGGCGACCGCAGCGUUGAACGGUCCGCAGGAUUGCAUCAAGGAAAUGCGCGACACCUACCGCAAGCGCCGCGACGUGCUGGUGGAAACCUUCGGCCGUGCGGGCUGGGNGCGGCGUCGAUGUUCGCCUGGGCGCCGUUGCCGGAGAAAUUCCGGGAGGUCGGCAGCAUGCAGU